ACAGAUGAAGAUGAAGUUGGAAGAGGCUAAAUAAUUUCCCCUGGCCACCUGGCUAAUGAACCCUGGACUAGAUUAAAUGUUCCCAUAAAAGGAGGAAAAACACAGGAAGCUACUCAAACAAGAUUAAAUUGGAGAUACAACUGAGUGAAAGAAGAAGAUGUUAUGGAGAAGACCUUGAAUUACAGGCUGAAUGUUUAAAGAAGAUGGCAUUUCCAACUUUAGUGCCAUCUGCAACUAGGUUGCUUCGACUGGCUCAUGCUCUGCUGAAACUGCCUGAAAAAGAUGUAAAAGCUCAUCUGUUACAAGGCUGACUGAUCCAAUGAAGCGCACCUGGGCUGGGAAAAAAGCCUGAGAGUAAGGUUACAUGAUGUUGGGAAGGAACUAAGAAACCUGUGAUAAUCAAGGCAUGAGCCACUUUGAAGAUUUAUGACAUUGCUGGGAAUUGUCAUAUUCUAGAGAGAAAACCCUGACAAGGUACUACAAUGAAGGCUAGGAAUCAGGAAGGUCAUAUCCAUGGAUGUUCAAAGGGAACUGAGCUAGUAACUCAAGGUAUGAAGUAAUCCAGUGUCUUCUUCAGAAAUUACACUCUAAAUGGCUAUUCUAGUCCUCCCUCCAAGGAAGGAUAUGGGCAUUGCUUAACUUUCCC
rnacentral:lncRNA from 1 species